GCCGAUGUAGCUCAGAGGUGAGAGCGCCGGAUUGGGUCCGGAGGUCGAGGGUUCGAGUCCCUUCAUCAGCACCA
rnacentral:tRNA from 1 species